rnacentral:lncRNA from 1 species
CCUUUGGGGAAAAAAAAGUAAACACCUGAUGUUCUGGCUGUGUGGUGAUCAAGUCAGACUCUGAUUCUGAUUCUCCCUCUAAGGAAAAGAGAGCUAAGAUCUGUGAAAUGAGCAGUGAAGGCAAGUAUCAUUUUCACUUAGAGAAAUAGCUGAGCUCUGAAGCCUUGUCACAUGUGGCAGUUUUAGGAUCUGACUUUGCACACUUUU